UAUCUUUUUUUGUUCAAAAAUUAUACCCACUUUUCAGUUACUUUACGGACACCCGGUAGUUAUCUAAGUACUCAUUCAGUUGUUUCUGUACUUUUUAAUGCCUUUUUUCCCUAUUAUCUUUAUUUCACAAUUGACAUCAGUGGAUGGAAUUUAAUGUUAUCACAGACUGUAUAUUACUGCUCCAAUAUACCACUUUUUGUUUCCUUCGUUAUUAACAGUUCCUGCUGGAGCAUAAUGAUCAAAGUCAUUGCUGAUAUUUAUUGAAUACUUACUUUAUCUGUGGAUAAUUUUCCCCAUUUUUCUUUUCCAGGGUCAAUUUUCAGCGUUUUGUUCCGAAGUGUGAUUUCAUCAAGAAUUCCUUAGUUUUUCAGGCUCUUCAAGAUGAAGCAAUCCGUAAAGAGAAGUCUGAA